rnacentral:lncRNA from 1 species
GCCAGAUGUCCUCUGUAGCAAGAGGCAGGACAAACAGUGAGGACUGCACCAACACUCACCGGGUGACCCCUUUGCUUUGGAAACUUACUCAGGGUGAAAGGAAUUCCGAUUUUAAACAGCAUCUCUUUGUGUGGCCUGUUUGAGGCACCACACAGAGCUUGCUGGAGCAGCUCUGUUGACCGCUGACCCUUGGCCUGCUAACUGAAACAAGGUUUCUGGUAUAGAGGAUGUUUUAAUUUGAGAGAAGUUUCCACCUACAAAAACACAUAUUUGUCCGGGCAUGGUGGCUCACGCCUGUAAUCCCAGCACUUUGGGAGGCUGAGGCAGGAGGAUCAUGAGGUCAAGAGAUCUAGACCAUCCUGGCCAACAUGGCGAAACCCCGUCUCUACUAAAAAUAAAAAAAUUAGCUGGGCAUGGUGGCGCAUGACUGUAGUCCCAGCUACUUGGGAGGCUGAGGCAGGAGAAUCUCUUGAACCCCGAGUUCAGAGUCAGUCAGUUGAGAUCGCGCCACUGCAUUUUAGCCUGGUGACAGAGCGAGACUCCGUCUCAAAAAAACAAAAACAAAAAACCACAUUUAUACCUUUGGAAACAUUAAGCCUCCAACUGUGAGAACGAAGAUUCAUAUUUAAAGGGAAAUGUGAGGUAAUUCUGUGAAUCUUAGACAGAUUGAUGGUACAAAAUGGGAAGCGCCACCAUCACUGAUAUUCUGAAAUUAUGGUUGACUGCAAAUAUCCAGAAAAGCAUAAAAACAACAUAAUGAACGCCUAUAUUCUCACACACAAAACUGUAACAUUUUGGCAGAUUUUCAUCAGCUCUUUUUCCUUAAGAAACAACACACACAAGGAUCAUGGAAGCCUCUCCAUGCUUCCCACCCUGUCCUUAAACUGAUGUUUUUCAUCCCCAGAAUGACGCUACAUUAAUGCUACAGAUGAAUGGCUCCAUAAACUAUAUAUAGCAAAGUAUUGAACUUUUGUUGAUUACAUCAGUCUCUAACAAGCUUUUUUCACUGAACAUUAUGUUUUUGCAAUUUGAUAAUGCCAACAGAUGUAGCUACAUCCAUUUAACUAGUGUAUUGCAUUUUAUUGUUACCAAACCGAACUUGGGUCCACCCAUCCUGGCACAGCAAAGCCAAACACUGACAGUGGGAUUUGCAGUGAAAAAAGUGAGGCAUUUAUAACAGGGCACCAAGCAAGGAGAACCGGAUAGCUCUCGCCUAGGACCUAAACUCCCGAAUGGCUUGAGUGUAAGGGUUUUUAAAGGUGGGAAGGCAGAAGUUACAUGCAAAGUCAUAAAUCAAUACAUGGAGGUCUUACAUUGGUUUGGCCAAAAAAGGUGGGAUAUCUUGAAGUGUGGGGCGAGGCACAGGUCAUGGGUAGAUUCAAAGAUUUUCUGAUUUGCGAAUUGGUUAAGGGAGUGAAACUUUGUCUAAAGCCUAGGGGUCCACAGAAAGGAAUGCUGAGCUCCGACCUGUAGGCAUGACUUCCUCCAGGCCACUCAGGAAGAAAUUCAGAACAAAAAAUGGCAGUCAGAGUUCAGUCCCCAGUUCCUCUGUUAUCUAAGGUCUAUGUGCCAGCAGAUGUCAUUUUCCAUUUGGUGGGAGUCCAGGUUUUUUGAAAACAACUCAGGGAUAUAUAUUAAGAUGUUGUCUUUAGUUUCUAUGGGGAACCAAACAUUUGGUGGCUCUAACUUCCUCGGCUAUUGUCUUCAGCUAUUGUUACCUCCUUGCUUAUCAGGUUGCUCACUUACUCCUCAGGGCUAGCUAGGUGCCCGGAAUUUCCCUCAAAGGAACUCAAGAUUUUUCUUUAUUUCCAUGCUUGGUUGGGAAGAGUGGCAGGCCCCUCAAAGGGAUCCCUGCUCUGUCUCCAUUUCACAUGAAUCAUACAAUUUAAUCAUGAUGAUGAUAAUGGAUAUUUGGGUGGCUUCUGUCAAGAACUGUGAAGAGGCUGACAUUUCACUCACUACUUACAGAUUCACAAGUGAGGCUGCUGCCCCAGUUUCAUGGAUGCUGGCAGAAGACUUAAGAUUUCUGAAUCAGAGACAGAAGACUUCAUUUAUUUGUCACAGCUAAAGCAAUGGCCAGUGUCAGUGUAUUUGCACUGGUGCCUCAAGCCCUGAUGCCCACGGGGUGAUGCAGAGACCCUAUGACUCCCGCACAUGCAUUGGGUCAAGUCACAGUAGAGGACCACUGAGCUGGGCACCAUGUGGACCUAUAGCAGGCAGCAGGCAAGCCCUCUCCUUUGAGGUUCCUCCCUGCAACUACGACCCCGAAAAAUGGAUCCAGUAAAGAAGAGUCAAGGCUUUAUAGUCUUGGUGCACCCAGUAAGACCUGUAGGAGAACAGGAAGCCUGUGGAGGACUGUUUCUUCCAAAAGUUUCCAAGUGUUAGCUCUUACACAUGUAUAAACAACACUGCAAUUUGUCUCCUUGCACCGUACAUCCACGAAGCAGAUUUGCUUCUUGCCAAAUUAUUUCCCUCAGUGAUUUCAGGAACUGACAAUUCCCAGUCGCAUAUAGGAAUUUUCUUGCGUCUUCUUUUCCUGACUAACUCUUGCGUUGUCAGACACUUUCAUUUGUGCUAAGCUGAUAAGUAUCAAACGAUGAUGCAGGCUAUUCAUUAUGUGUGUCCUUGAUUACUGAUGAGUUUGAGCAAUUGUCAUUUGUUGGACUGAUCGUUCAAUUUCCUCUUCGGUCCUUGGCCUUUUCAUAUAUUUUGCCUUUUCUUGUAGGUGUGUCCUUUUCAAAUUGAUUUUUUUGGUGUUUUUGGUAUAUCCUGUGUACUAAUUCUUUGUCAUUUAUAUGCAUUAAUAAUAUCUCCUUUCACUGUGUGGCUUGUCUUCUCAAUUUGUUUUUGGGUUUUUGUUUCAGAGAACAUUUUAUAAGCUUUAAAUAAUAAAGUUUAUUUAUUUUUAAUUAUUUUGAUUUUGCUUUUGCAUCUUGUUUAAGAAACCCUGUCCUACUUAUAAAUAAGGCCAUAAUUAUUAUUCUUUAUUUAUUUAUUUAUUUAUUUAUUUAUUUAUUUAUUUAUUUAUUUUGAGACAGAGUCUCGCUCUGUUGCCCAGGCUGGAGUGCAGUGGCGUGAUCUCGGCUCACUGCAGCCUCUGCCUCCCAGGUUGAAGUGACUCUCCUGCCUCAGCCUCCUGAGUAGCUGGGACCACAGGCACACGACACCCUACCUGGCUAAUUUUGUAUUUUUAGUAGAGAUGGGGUUUCACCAUGUUGGCCAGGGUGGUCUCAAUCUCCUGACCUCAUGAUCUACCUGCCUCAGCCUCCCAAAGUGCCUUAUUUUUCUUUUUAAAAUAUAAAACUUACGCCAGGUGCGGUGGCUCACUCCUGUAAUCCCAGCACUGUGGGAGGCCGAAGCAGGUGGAUCACCUGAGGUCAGGAGUUUGAGGCCAGCCUGACCAAUAUGGUGAAACCCCGUCUCUACUAAAAAUACAAAAUUAGUGGGCAUGGUGGCGGGCAUCUGUAAUCCCAACUACUCCGGAGGCUGAGGCAGAAUUGCUCGAACCCAGGAAGUGCUGGUUGCAGUGAGCCAAGAUAGUGCCACUGCACUCCAGUCUAGGCAACAAGAGUAAAACUCCGUCUCAAAAAAAAAAAAAAAAAAAAAAAAAGAAAAGAAAGACAAAAAAGAAAAAGAAAAAAAUAUGAAAGUUUUGCAUUUUUCAUUUAGGUCAUCAAUACAUGGGGAACUUAACCUCUUAUGCAGGGUGAGGUAUGAAUCUAAUUUAUUUUUACAUGUGGACAACCAGUUGUCUCAUCAACUUUCGGUGGAUGCUCCUUCCUUCCCUGCGGACAUGUAAAAUAUUCAUUCCGUCGUAUCAUAUAUCACCUUGCCAGUUGCUCAGGCUGAAAACCUUGGGGCUAUCCAGACUCUCUUGUGCCUGACAUCCAGUCCAUUAGCAAAUCCUGACAGCUCUACCUUAAAACAGACUUUCUGAAGCCAGCCCAUUCAUCAUCCCCUCCAACACUGCCACUCAGGGCCAAACCACUGCCACCUUUUGCCUGGACUACUCUAUGGCCUCCUAAUUAGUUUACCCCUUCAUCUCUUGCUCCCCUACAGUUUUUUGUCUACACAGCAACAGAGUUAUGUCUUUUUUCUUUUCUCUUUUUUUUGAGAAGGAGUUUCACUUUUGUUGUCCACGCUGGUGUGCAAUGGCACAAUCUCAUCUUACUGCAACCUCCACCUCCUGGGUUCAAGUGAUUCUCCUGCCUCAGCCUCCCGAGUAGCUGGGAUUACAGGCAUGCACUACCACGACCGGCUAAUUUUUGUAGUUUUAGUAAAGACAGGAUUUCUUCAUCUUGGUCAGGCUGGUUUCGAACUUCUGACCUCAGGUGAUCCACCCGCCUAGGCCUCCCAAAGUACUGGGAUUACAAGCGUGAGCCACCUCGCCAGGCCAAGUUAUGUCUUUAAAAAUACAUUUGAUCGUGCUCUUCCCUGCUCACAUUCAGAAUAACAUUUGCAGUCUUACUGUGUCUAUAAGACCUCCUAUAUCCUGGUUGCUGGUUGCAGUUUGCACCUCAUUUUCUACUGCGCUUUCUCUCUCUCUUGCUGUGUUCCAGAAACACUUGUGAUUCCUCGCACAAUGACUGUGUUCCCAGUUCAGGCCUUUGCAUUUGCUGUUUCUUCUUCCUGCUAUUUCUCUUCCCCCAGAGAGCUGUACAGCUUGCUUGAACCUCAUUCAAGGUUUCUGUUCAAACAUCACAUUAUCAAGAGGGGCCUUCCCUUUAAAGAAGAACAGAGCCCUAUUUAAAAUAGAGCCCUCCCUAAUUCACUUAAUUUUUCUUCAUAACAUUCACCACUGUCCACGAUUGUAGCGUGUUCUUUUUAUUACUUGACCCAUGUGCUAGAAUGUAAGCACCCUGAGGGUAGGCAUUUUGUUGGUUUUGUUGUUUGAUCUAUUCUCAAAGCCAAGAAUAGAGCCUGGGACACAGUAGAGUUUUAAAACAUGACAAAUAAAUGGAUGAAUGAAUGAAUGAAUGAAUGAAAAAGCAAAAUUUUCCAUUGGGAAGGAUAAAAUCUUUUUUGGUAAUAGUUGCACUGAGUUGAGAUCUAAGUCUUUCCAUUUUGCUAUCAUUAUAAAAAUUAUCUUAGCUAUUCUUGGCCCUUUCUUUUCCCAUUUGAAUUUUAUGAUCAAUGUACCAAGUUUCACAUAGACCUGCAUUGGAAUUUUGAUUGGAAAUGCAUUGAAUUUAUACAUUCAUUUGACAUGAACACCAUCCAUAAAUAUGGGACGUCUUUCUAUUCAGGUUUAAAGUUUUUCAGUAAACAUUGGGUUUUUUUUUUAAAUGAAAGAUAUGUACAUGUUUUCCUAGAUUUACUAGGUACACUCAUAAUUUUCUUUUUGUUGUUGUUCCCCCACAGUGAAUAAGAUCUUUUCCUUUUGCAUUUUCUAAUUGUUGGUGUAUAGGAAUAGUACUCAUUUUUUAUGUCGAUCUUCUAAGAUGCUUUCUUAGUUGACUGUCUUGAUUUGGGGAGGAAGGUAGGCAAGUAUGUCGUCUGCAACUGAGGACUGUUUGUUUGGUUUCUUCGUCUUCUCUUCUUAUCCUUUCUGCACCUUAUUCCAUUGGCUUUAUCUUACUGGUUGAUUGCAUUUUUUUUUAUUACAUUGGUUUUCAACCUACAGGAUACAUGCGGAAAUAGCAGACAUCCAUGUCCUGUCCUCUGUUUUCCUAGGAAUGCUUCCAAGAUUGUACCAUUCAGUAUGAUGUCUGCUAAUGAUUUUGGAGGAUAGCCACCUUGGUUUCCUUGCACAGGUUUUAUUAUGAAAUAAUGUUGAAUUUUAUGAAGUACUUAUUUAUUUAUUUAUUGAGAUGGAGUCUCGCUCUGUCUCCCAGGCUGGAGUGCAGUGGUGCAAUCUUGGCUCACUGCAACCUCCACCUCCUGGGUUCAAGCAAUCCUCCUGCCUCAGCCUCCCAAGUAGCUGAGACUACAGUUGUGGGCCACCAAGCCCAGCUAAUAUUUGUAUUUUUAGUAGAGAUGGAGUUUCACCAUGUUGGCCAAACUGGUCUCAAACUCCAGACCUCAGGUGAUCCACCCGCCUCAGCCUCCCAAAGUGCUGGAACUACAGGCGUAACCCAUUGCGCCCGGCCAAGUACUUUUCUUCCUUUAAUCUUUAAUGUGGUGGAUUACAUUAACAUAUUUUCUGACGUUAAGCCAUAUUUCCAUCUUCAGGAUAAAACCCCACUUGUCAUCACAUGUUAGUUUUAUACACUGCUGAAUUUGAUUUGUAUUUUAAGAUAUUUGAGAUUAUGUUUAUUAGUAAGAGGGGUCUAUCAUUUUCAUUUUUGUAUGAUGUUCUUAAGUUUUUAAAAAAACCAGAUUAUACUAGUUUCAUAGAACAAGUUGCUAAAGUUUACCUCUUUUUUUAAUUCUCUGGGAGAAUUUGUACGAGAUAAAGAGAUCUGUUUUUUGAAUGUCUGGUAAAAUUUGCUUGUAAAAAUGCUCUAGGAAUUUUGAGUACCAUUAGAUUUCUAAUUCUAUAUAUUUAAUGUCUAUGGUUUACAUUUCCUAUUUUCCUUCUCAAAUUGUUUAUAUUUUCUAGAAAAUGUCAUUUAGG